rnacentral:lncRNA from 1 species
CCGCCCGCCGCCCGCCAGCCCGCCCGCCGCCGGCGCCGCCGCCCAGCUCUCCGGCCGCGGCGGCUCAGACCGCGGCUGCGGCGGGCGCGGGCGGCGGCGGCUCCCUUACGCCCGCCAGUCUUGGGACCUUCGCCUGCGCGCCUACCCGCGGGGGAACAGUGCGCGCUCCGGACCUCAGCGGGGACUGGGACGUCAGGUCCCCGGCCCCCGCCGCCCCCCACGAUGAGGAAGUUGAGGCUCAGAGAAGAAAAGUGAAACACUCAUGUCCUGUGAUCUCCUGUGAUCGCUGUCCAGGAACCAGGUGGUCAGCCGCCAGGCCCAUGCUGUGAGGCUCGGA